UUGGAGGGCAAGUCUGGUGCCAGCAGCCGCGGUAAUUCCAGCUCCAAUAGCGUAUAUUAAAGUUGUUGCAGUUAAAAAGCUCGUAGUUGAAUUUCGGGGUCAGUAGGUUGGUCAUGCCACUGGUAUGUACUGGUCUCACUGAUUCCUCCUUCCUGAUGAGCCGUAAUGCCAUUAAUUUGGUGUUGCGAGGAAUCUGGACUGUUACUUUGGAAAAAUUAGAGUGUUUAAAGCAAGCUAACGCUUGAAUACAUUAGCAUGGAAUAAUGAAAUAGGACGUUCGAUCCUAUUUUGUUGGUUUCUAGGAUUGACGUAAUGAUUAAUAGGGAUAGUUGGGGGCAUUAGUUUUCAAUUGUCAGAGGUGAAAUUCUUGGAUUUAUUGAAGACUAACUACUGCGAAAGCAUUUGCCAAGGAUGUUUUCAUUAAUCAAGAACGAAAGUUAGGGGAUCGAAGACGAUCAGAUACCGUCGUAGUCUUAACCAUAAACUAUGCCGACUAGGGAUCGGAUGAUGUUAAUUUUUUAAUGACUCAUUCGGCGCCUUACGGGAAAC
rnacentral:rRNA from 1 species